rnacentral:sRNA from 1 species
AGAAAGAAUUCCUGUGUCCUGUAUGCCGCCGACUAG